GAUGAUGAAUACUUCAUGGGCCUGUCUCCCCUUGACUACAGGGAGCCCGAACCAACAGCUGCCAUGGUGUCACGCAUCGGGCUGCGCAUGCAGCUCAUGUGGGAGCAGGCACAGCAGGAGGAGCAGCGAGAGCACAUGCAGCAGCAGGCCGUCAUGCAUUACAUGCAGCAGAAGCAGCAGCAGCUGGGAGGCCCCCCCACCCCAGCCAUCAACACCCCGGUCCACUUCCAGUUGCCCCUGCCUGUGCCUGGGGAGGUGCUGAAGGUGCAGUCUUACCUGGAGAACCCCACCUCCUACCACCUGCAACAGUCCCAGCAUCAGAAGGUUCGGGAGUAUCUGUCCGAGACCUACGGGAACAAGUUUGCUGCCCACGUGAGCCCAGCCCAAGGCUCCCUGAAGCCUGUCCCAGCAGCAUCCCCUGGGGUGCGGGCUGGACACGUACUGUCCACCUCGGCUGGCAACCGUGCUCCCAACAGUCCCAUGGCCAUGCUGAAUAUCUAUCAGCUCCAACCCUGAGAAAGAGUUUGAUGAUGUCAUCGACAAUAUUAUGCGCCUGGACAGUGUGCUGGACUACAUCAACCCCGAAAUGCAGAUGCCUAACACGCUGCCCCUGUCUAGCAGCCACCUAAACGUGUACAGCGGUGACCCCCAGGUCACAGCCUCCAUGGUGGGUGUCACCAGCAGCUCUUGCCCUGCCGACCUGCCGACCUGACUCAGAAGCGAGAACUAACAGAUGCUGAGAGCCAGGCCCUGGCCAAAGAGCCGCAGAAGACAAUCACAUCCUAAUUGAGAGAAGCCGCAGUUUCAACAUCAAUGACCCGAUCAAGGAGCUGGGAAUGCUGAUCCCCAAGGCCAACGACCUGGACGUGCGCUGGAACAAGGGCACCAUCCUCAAGGCCUCUGUGGAUUACAUCCGGAGGAUGCAGAAGGACCUGCAGAAGUCCGGGGAGCUGGAAAGCCACUCCGGGCACCUGGAGAUGACUAACAAGCAGCUCUGGCUCCGCAUCCAGGAGCUGGAUAUGCAGGCCUGCUUGCACGGCCUCCCCACCACCUCGCCAUGGGGUGUGAAUAUGGCUAAGCUGGCCCAGCAGGUGGUGAAGCAAGAACUGCCCAGUGAAGAUGGCCCAGGAGAGGCCCUGAUGCUGGGGCCUGAGGCCCCUGAUCCUGAGCAGAUGCCAGCUCUCCCUCCCCAGGCUCCGCUGCCCUUGGCUGCCCAGCCACAGUCUCCAUUUCAUCACCUGGACUUCAGCCAUGGCCUGAGCUUUGGGGGUGGGGGGCGACGAGAGGCCCACAGGUUACCCCGAUCCCCUGGGGACAGAGCAUAGCUCCCCAUUCCCCAACCUAUCCAAGAAGGAUCUGGACUUAAUGCUCCUAGAUGACUCCCUGCUCCCCCUGGCCUCUGUUCCCCUCUUUUCUACCAUGUCUCCUGAGACCUCCAAGGUCAGCAGCCGCAGGAGCAGCUUCAGCAUGGAGGAGAGUGACGUUCUGUGA